UACAGAGGGUGCGAGCGUUAAUCGGAAUUACUGGGCGUAAAGCGUGCGUAGACGGUUUAUUUAAGUCGGGUGUGAAAGCCCCGGGCUCAACCUGGGAAUUGCAUUCGAGACUGAAUAGCUAGGGUACGGUAGAGGGAAGUGGAAUUUUCCGGUGUAGCGGUGAAAUGCGUAGAUAUCGGAAGGAACAUCAGUGGCGAAAGCGGCUUUCCUGGUCCAGCACCGACGUUCAGGCACGAAAGCGUGGGGAGCAAACAGG
rnacentral:rRNA from 1 species